AAUUAAUAAAAAAAAUUGUGUCGUCUACUUCGUUUUGUGCAAGAAAAACAGCACAACAAAUAAAAUUUCUAAAAUGUGGGCGUCGUGUGAACUCCAUGCUGUUUAGCAGAUUUGAGGCCUGAACCAGUCAUCAUUACAACACGACAUGCAAGUUUUACUUCCGCUGGUAUUGACCUGUCACCACCAACAAUCUCAUCAUUGUCUUCUCUUGGCAUCCAGUUUGAUUGGGAAAAUUCCCAUUUCUUUAAAUCCCCCAUGUCAUCGUGUACAUGUGAGUGUAUUCACGAGGACACCCUUUUCCCUAUCUCGUCUGGUGGAUUCAACUAUUCUGUGGAUGGAGCACCUGUGGAUGCCUGGCCGUAUUUUCCCUGGCUUAAACUUAAAGGUAGGACAAAUUAUACCUAUUCUUCCUUAUUGACUAUUUGAUGGCGUCGAUUUUGAAUCGUGACAUAGUACAGAGAACGAUUACUAUUCCUGAGCUAGGCUAGGCUAUAGACGAUUGAUUGGAACUGUUUUCUCUUUUUACUCAGUAAGGGUUCAUUAAAUUUAAGCAAUGGUCGCUCAUUUGUAGAA